CGGGUGUUCUGAGUCUCUAAGGCCCAAGAGGAAGAAACACAGCUGUCUUCUACAUGGAAACGGGAAAGAUGCUCACCCUAUUCACACCCCUAAGACUGGCCAUGGCUCUCAAAUUUCUUUGAUCUCUCCAGGCAGGCAUGUAGUAAGUCCAUGGGUUCCCAAUGGUACCCACUUUGGACUCAUAGAGUUGCAUCUGAGUUCUUGAAUUUCAAUUUCAAAUCCCUAAACAACACUUUCCCAUAGGAGAAUGAACAUAUCUAGCUCCAUAUCUUUCAUUCAUCCAUCAGUGGUGCCAGUGAUUCUUGCCCAGAUAUGGUCUAGAGGUCACCUGAUCUGUUCAUUUCUACCUAAGGCUGGAAAGUCUAGCUUAGGCUCAUCUGGGGAAAGGGCACCAUGAAAGGCCUGGACCUAGACUAUGACAGCUAAGAAAGAGAAUCGGGAAGACAUAAAGAACCAGAAUGCAUCACUCGAAGCAACUGCACUGAAUCCUGGCAGAUAUGUGCUCUGCUUUCCUGAGUAACCCUGGAGAAUUAGCAGCCAUUGCCAGGGCCCCUGAAAAGCUCUUGAGAAGGACCUGCACUAUGUAGACAGGAUUGCAACCUCCUGUGUGCAUGAAGUCCCCUUUGUAAGCUAGGGGUUGCUAAACAAAGCCUUGCUUCAGUGGAAGUCACAUGUAAGCAGUCAUGGCCUUCUACGUGACAAGAGCCUCGUGGACAUCCCAAAGUCGUGGUUUUGGAGCUAAAGAAGAAUCCUCUAAUUACCAGAUCAAAUUCCUGAUUCUGUGCUGUAAAUGGAAGAGAUAUUUUUAUGUUAGGAAGGACCUGGGCUCAAUCAGCAUCAUAAAGUGAUACAGGAUGAGAAAAGAAGAGCUGUGAGCUGAGACAAGUCUUGGGAACCUCUAGAAUGGACUCCCCAGAAUCCUUCUACAUUUGUGCCGGAUUGAAGACUUUCCAUGGCCAAGAGAGUCAG
rnacentral:lncRNA from 1 species